AAAUACAUAUCGGCCUUACAACACAUAUACGGUUAAGGCAUUGUCACCUACUUCGUGGCAUCUCUAACCAUGUUUUUUU
rnacentral:ncRNA from 1 species